rnacentral:rRNA from 1 species
UACGGAGGGUGCAAGCGUUAUCCGGAAUCACUGGGCGUAAAGGGCGCGUAGGCGGCCUGUUAAGUCCGAUGUUAAAGACUGGGGCUCAACCCCAGCAUUGCGUUGGAUACUGACAGGCUUGACGGUUGGAGAGGCGAGUGGAAUUACCAGUGUAGCGGUGAAAUGCGUAGAUACUGGUAGGAACACCCAUUGCGAAGGCAGCUCGCUGGACAACACGUGACGCUGAGGCGCGAAAGUGUGGGGAGCAAACCGGAUUAGAUACCCCGGUA